GUGUUCGGGGACUUAGAGGACUUGGCUUGAGACCAAAUAUUCUUGCUUGUUGCAGUACAAUGGCACUUGAUGAUAAUGUCAAGUUAAAGCUCUCUCAGUUUUGCCAUGUUCCGGUAAUGAAACAUGAAUUCUAUUUGUCUGCUUCUCUUCCAUCUCCUAAAUCAGUAACUACUAUUAUUAAGAAAUAUGACUUUUUUCCAGGCCGAAAAUAUUUUCACUCUCUAUGACGUUCCAAAUAUUUGGCACAUUCCUUUACUACUAAGAGAUCAAAAGGCACAUGAAGCAAUCUUGAAAGGAUUGAACCUACUAGGGUUUUCCCUAUGAACUCUCUAAUCCACCCUUUAAUUUUUUU